rnacentral:misc_RNA from 1 species
UAUAACUGCGCAAAGAAUACGUGUUUUAUCUCGACUGCGCAUGUGCAGAGCCGCAAAAUAGCUGUCUGCGCAGAGAAGACUCUCCCACUUACCAGGAUAAGUUAAGUGGCUUCCGGCAUUUUCGAGACUCGAUCUUUCCGUCCCUAUCAGCGGCACGGAGAUCUUAGCCGCUUUUUGUAACAUCCUACUACAAAUAAUUCAACAUCUUUCUUCGGGACAGUGAAGCACAACAUCCCAAUUAAAAAAAUGACUUACAGUGGUGCAUCGUCUGGUGGUGGUGGUGGUGGAUUCCGUAGUGGUGGAGCAGGAAAAGGCGGAGCUGCUCAGCGUAGCAGCGGACCGCCGCGCAAUGGCUUCGGCGGCGGUGGAGGUGGUAAUAGGUUCGGCGGAGCACGAGGUGGAAACACUGGUGGAUCCAAUGGCCGCUUUGGAAACCGUGGGAACUCAAACAACCCUAAAACUGCAGGCAACACCCUUAAAAAACCCAACUGGGAUUACGAAAAUCUGAAACCUUUCAAGAAAGAUUUCUACAUCCCACAUUCAAACGUUUCCCAGCGAAACUACCGCGAGAUCGAUUCUUUCCGACUAGAAAAAGAAAUUACCCUUAAGGGAGAGGAAAUUCCAGACCCAAUCCAGUCUUUCGACGAAGGAAACUUCCCGGAUUACGUAAUGGAGGGAAUUAAGAGACAAGGGUUCACCGAGCCGACGGCUAUUCAGUCCCAAGGUUGGCCCAUUGCGAUGUCCGGCCGCAACAUGGUCGGUAUUGCUCAAACAGGAUCAGGAAAGACGCUUGGAUACAUCUUGCCUGCUAUCGUUCACAUCAACAACCAGCAACCUCUGAACCGUGGAGACGGACCCAUCGCUCUGGUACUUGCACCCACCAGAGAAUUGGCCCAGCAGAUCCAAACAGUCGCCAAUGAUUUUGGAUCUCUGUCUUAUGUAAGGAACACAUGCAUUUUCGGGGGAGCUCCCAAGGGCAGCCAAGCUCGUGACCUGGAACGUGGUGUUGAGAUUGUUAUUGCCACACCUGGAAGGCUUAUUGAUUUCCUCGAGCGCGGCACCACCAAUCUGCGCAGAUGCACGUACUUGGUACUCGAUGAGGCUGACCGUAUGUUGGACAUGGGAUUCGAACCACAAAUUAGAAAAAUUAUCGAGCAAAUCAGACCUGACAGACAAGUACUUAUGUGGUCUGCUACUUGGCCAAAGGAAGUCAGAAUGUUGGCUGAGGAAUAUCUCGUUGACUACACCCAAUUGAAUAUUGGAUCUCUCUCGCUCUGUGCGAACCACAACAUUCUCCAAAUUGUUGAUGUAUGCCAAGAACAUGAAAAAGAAACAAAAUUAGGAUCUUUGCUCCAAGAAAUUGGUAAUGUUAAUGAUGACGGUGGAAAAACAAUUAUCUUCGUAGAAACUAAGAAAAAAGUUGAAAAUAUUACUAGAAACAUAAGAAGAUACGGCUGGCCUGCCGUGUGUAUGCACGGAGACAAAUCACAGCAAGAACGUGAUUAUGUUCUUAGAGAAUUCAGAAACAAGAAAGGUUCAAUUCUUGUAGCAACAGACGUUGCUGCUCGUGGACUUGAGGCACAUGAUGCACAGAAUCUGUUGAGUGCGCGAUGAACAAAAAAUCUUGAAAAGAAUAUUUGUUUGAAACAUUUAAAAUAAGUCAUACAAUCAGAACCAUGGCUCACUCAAUGUCUGUGCUCUAUUUAAAUAGACUAUAUAUGAAAAGUGAUAUAUAGAUGAUAUGAUAUGUACAUGCGGAUAUUCGCGUGCGUUUUAUUAAGCAUGUACUUAUUAAUGUGCCUCUGUGUACGGCCUGUGUACCACGUAAGUUAUGAGUGGUGCGCGGGUAACGUCGCGCUGGUUGGCUGAAAGGCUCUGGGCUUGCACGCACACACGCCGUUUAAAGACCAAUUAUCAAUAUCAGCCGGUGCGAGACAACAAUCUAUUGAUUUUGCUACUAUCGCUAUUUGUGAAUAAAUACGAGCGUCAAUCUGAACUUGCAUUCAACUUUUGUACAACGCCGAGGAGUAUACUUUGCGCUUACAUCGAAUGCAAUGUUCAGCAGUGAUAUGAUGUCGAUGAUGUUAAGUAUGUGAUCAACUUCGACUAUCCUUCCUCGUCGGAGGAUUACAUUCAUAGAAUUGGAAGAACUGGACGGUCUCAAGCCACUGGAACGAGUUACGCUUUCUUUACGCCACAAAACAGUCGACAAGCUAAAGAUUUAAUAAACGUACUCAAA